rnacentral:hammerhead_ribozyme from 1 species
AUUCAGCUGACGUGUCCUAAAUAGGACGAAAUGCGCAUCCUAGAU